rnacentral:rRNA from 1 species
AGAGUUUGAUCCUGGCUCAGAUUGAACGCUGGCGGCAUGGCUAAAACAUGCAAGUCGAACGUCAAAGUCGUAGCAAUACGGCAAGUAAGUGGCGAAAGGGCGAGUAAUGCGUUUCUAACGUACCCUGGACUCACGGAUAGCUCGCCGAAAGGUGGAUUAAUACGUGAUGACCCCGCGAGGCUGUAUGGUUUUGCGGGCAAAGGCUUGCUGGUCCGGGAGCGGCGAUCGUCCUAUCAGGUAGUUGGUGAGGUAAAGGCUCACCAAGCCGAAGACGGGUAGCGGGUGUGAGAGCAUGACCCGCCGCAUCGGGACUGAGACACUGCCCGGACUCCUACGGGAGGCUGCAGCGACGAAUCUUCCGCAAUGGGCGAAAGCCUGACGGAGCAAUGCCGCGUGCAGGAUGAAGCCCCUCGGGGUGUAAACUGCUGUCAGGGUUUAGAAACACAAUGAUCAGACCCAAAGGAAGAGCCGGCUAACUCUGUGCCAGCAGCCGCGGUAAUACAGAGGGCCCGAGCGUUAAUCAGAGUAACUGGGCUUAAAGGGUGCGUAGGCGGACCUGUAAGUGCUUUGUGAAAUCCCACGGCUCAACCGUGGAAUGGCUUGGCAGACUGCAGGUCUUGAGGUCGGUAGGGGUCACCGGAACGCUAGGUGGAGCGGUGAAAUGCGUAGAUAUCUAGCGGAACGCCGAAGGUGAAGACAGGUGACUGGGCCGAUUCUGACGCUGAGGCACGAAAGCGUGGGGAGCAAACGGGAUUAGAUACCCCGGUAGUCCACGCCCUAAACGAUGUGCACUAGAUCGCAGAGACUCUCACGCCCCUGUGGUUGAAGCAAAAGUAUUAAGUGCACCGCCUGGGGAGUACGGUCGCAAGGCUAAAACUCAAAGGAAUUGACGGGGGCUCACACAAGCGGUGGAGCAUGUGGCUUAAUUCGAAGCAACGCGAAGAACCUUAUCCAGGGUUUGACAUGUAUGGAUUAGGUGGCCGAAACGUCACCGAGGCCCUCACGGGUACAACAUACACAGGUGCUGCAUGGCUGUCGUCAGCUCGUGCUGUGAAGUGUCGGGUUAAGUCCCUUAACGAGCGAAACCCCUGCCGUUAGUUGCUAACACGUUAUGGUGAGGACUCUAGCGGGACUGCCGGUGUCAAACCGGAGGAAGGUGGGGAUGACGUCAAGUCCUCAUGGCCUUUAUGUCCAGGGCUGCACACGUGCUACAAUGCGGUAUACAAUGCGAAGCGAGACCGUAAGGUGGAGCAAAUCGCAAAAAGUACCGCCCAGUUCGGAUUGUGGUCUGCAACUCGACCACAUGAAGUUGGAAUCGCUAGUAAUCGCGUAUCAGCUACGACGCGGUGAAUACGUUCCUGAGCCUUGUACACACCGCCCGUCAAGUCAUGGAAGCCGGUAACACCCGAAGCCGCCUUAAUUCAAAGGUGUCUACGGUAGGCUCGGUGACUGGGACUAAGUCGUAACAAGGUAACC